UAUUACACUACUUGAAGUUACACACUAUGUAAAUAGUAAAGAUAAAUCUUUAUCUCAUCCCGAAACUCUGGUAUGAUAUAAUUAUUAUAUUUAGAGUGUGAUUUGGAUGAAAUAAUAAUUCUCUUCAGACAGGAUCUGUCAGUGAGAUGGGUGGUAAUGGAGUGUGGAGCGGAAUCAAGGACGAUUUCAAAGAAUUAACUGGAACAUUCUGUUGUUGUCUGAUAGAGUCGGAUCAAUUCCUAGGAUGCAUGCCUAAACUAUUUUUAGCUAUUCAGUUUCUGACACUGAUAUUGCAGUUGGUAGGAACUUUUACACACCAUUGGAUAUAUACAGCAGAUUGCAAAAACAUAGGCCUGAAAUCGACUUGCACAGAUAAUGAGUUUAAUUCCUCGGCAAACACUACACAAAUAAUUAACGUCAUAAAGCUUGAAAACGGAGACGACUUGUUUGGGCUACAAACAGCUUCAUUCUCCAUGAACAUACUCUGCCUGGUUAUAGCGGCAAUGACAUUGUGGCGUGUGCAUGCAGUUGACAAGGAAAGUAAGACCUCAGUUCAAACAAGUUGCUUCACUUGCGUGCUGCCACUGAUGUGUAUGAUUUCAGGUUUCCUUAAUUUCAUCGCAUGUAUGGUGGUGACAGGCACGGAGUAUAGUUUGGGUUAUUCAUUCUACUUGUGUCUUAGCUCUGGCAUUUUACUGAUGAUCAUAUCUAUUAUAUCAGUCAUUGGAUACUGUUGCGUGAAAAGUAACUGUUGCGACUUUUAGAAACAAAAUAGAAAAUUAUACAUAAGUCAACAUAAACUGUAUGGAAACCGUCUAUUAUCUAAAAUCCAAUUAUGUAUUGAAUCGUUAGUUCUUCCCUAUUAAUGGGUUGAUGUUAACAGUUACACAAUGAAAGACGCUCCCUAUCUUAUAUUGUCUAUCUUGGGGGGAAAGUUACAUUGUUAUACUGUCAGACUAUAAGGAUCUUACAUGCCUGCCUGUGUAAGACGGGGUUUUCCCCACAGUUCCAAUCUAACGGAUCCUUAUGGUAUAGCAUUUAUAUAGUAAGAAAAAAGAAAAGGUAGGACACUUCCGAAUACCCAUAUUCUCUUAUUCAUUAAUAGCGAGCUCGAAGAGCAGGCCCGAAGGGCCUGCUCGAGAAUCGAGCUUUACGGUAACGCAAGUAUACUUCCACACUUGGUGAUGGAUUUGAAAAGUUUCGUCGGAAGUUCUUAAAAAGCGCACCCUAACGGAUAGGUGCUCACAGGAAGUACUUCUUUCCGGAGUGAAUGCAGAACUUUGAACAUUCAAUUGCUAAAAAAUAUUCAUCACUCAACAAUAAUGAAAGAAUGCUUUCCAGUUGUUUGAAAAAAAAUAUUGUUUUCAUUUAAAAGAUCAAGCAUCGGCCAGAAAAUGGAAAAAAAUUCAUUAAUUAGCAGCGGUAAUGACGUCACCGUGACACCGGCUUCCCAUAAUUUUUGCAACGUAUGAUAUUCACUGUUACAGGUAUGAUGACACUAAAUGUAGACUUUUCAAGUGAAUGGGUUCUCCUGAAUUCUUGUGAGUAGGGAAUAGUGUCUUUGUGACAAAUAAAUGAUGCAUAAUAUUUUUAGCUCAAUCCGAAUUUUUUGAGCUCGCUUUGAGGCUUUGCCUUAUUUCAUAUUAGCGAGCUCGAAGAGCAGGCCCGAAGCUUUACGGUAACGCAAGUAUACUUGCACACUUGGUGAUGGAUUUGAAAAGUUUCGUCGGAAGUUUUUAAAAAGCGCACCCUAGCGGAUAGGUGCUCACGGGAAGUACUUCUUUCCGGAGUGAAUACAGAACUUCAUUCAAUUGCUAAAAAUAUUCAUCACUCAACAAUAAUGAAAGAAUGAUUUCCAUUUGUUUGAAAAAAAAUAUUGUUUUCAUUUAAAAGAUCAAGCAUCGUCCAGAAAAUGGAAAACAUGUCAUUAAUAAGCAGAAAGAAACGGAAACGCGGUAAUGACGUCACCGUGACACCGGCUUCCCAUAAAUUUUGCAACGUAUGAUAUUCACUGUUACAGGUAUGGUGACACUAAAUGUAGACUUUUUCAAGUGAAUAGGUUCUCCUGAAUUCUUGUGACUAGUGAAUAGUUUCUUUGUGACAAAUAAAUGAUGCAUAAUAUUUUUAGCUAAAUCCGAUUUCUUUGAGCUCGCUUUGAGGCUUUGCCUUAUUUCAUAUUAUAUGAUCGAUUUCAAUAGAAUAAAAUUUAAACGUUAGUUGGAAAUAUUGGAAAUACCUCGGCUAUAUACCUUCAUCAUCAUUACUUCAAUAGAAAUAAAUGGAAAAAAAAAUAGCGGCAAACAAUAAUAAACAAAAAUGUCAAUUCAGUUUGACGAACUAAGGAGCGCUGCUAAGCGUGGCCACAACAUUAUUAUAUCGGACCAAGCCGGUACAGAAGAUAAUUUUUUCAAUUUAUUUUCACGAAAUUUUAUACCUUCGAUAUCGAAGGUUUAUUUUUGACCACCGCAAUAAGGACUACAAAUUCACUCCGUUGCAAACCGGAUGUAUACAAGCAGGGAAGAUGUAGAAAUCUGAAGUUCGUGGAAAAUCGCUGAUUUCUUUAAAAAUACUGUAUUGAUAAAGGUUAAACUUAUGCCGUAGGUUUAUUACAAUAAUAUCAAUUAAUUAAGUGUAUCGUUUGAACCGUCCGUUCUAUAUUAGCUUCAAACCAGAUUUGGUGUUUCGGAAGUGUCCUACCUUUUCUUUUCUUACUAUAUAAUGCUAUACCAUAAGGAUACCGUUAGAUGGGGCCUAUGAAUAGGUUUGGGUAUUUCCUGACAUUAUUUAUAAAGUUUAUGACGACACAACAGGGGCAGUACUAUGUGACGUCACCUUAGUGCACGCUAUUUUAGACAAGGUUUUUCCCUAGGAAAAGACAGGAAUAUCUAUCCCCGGCGCGUGCUCGGACAAAUGUAUACGUUCCCCGCUAGGUAGGCAAGAAAGGGAGGAUCUUACGUUGUCUAUCUGUCAACAUAAUACUGAGGGUUUUAUAAUGUCUAACUGUUAACACAUUACUAAGAAGGAAUUGAUAUAAUUUACCUCAAUUAAUGCAUUGACUGAAAAAAUUGUAAGACCCUUGCUAUGAACGUGUUGAAAAAAAAAAACAGACAAGAUUCUCAUUAUCAAUGUGUUGAAAGUGAUACAAAAUAAAACCCUUCCUGUUAUUGAAUUAACAGACAGACAUUGUAAGAUUCUCACUAAAAAUGUAUUGAAAGAUAGACAUUGUAAUAGCCUUGCUAUUAAUGCAUUUGGCAGAUAUACAUUCUCGCCAAUCUGACUAAAGUACUUGAUCUUCUAAAGGAAAAAAUCUGAGAAUGACCCAUUCACAUUCGUCUUCUGUAUAUUUUGUAUUUCCAAUAUUGCUAUUUUUAUUUUCGCAAAUCUGUUUUUAUUUGAACCAAUCAGACGACUUGUUCGAAUGUCAAAGAGUAAGAAAAAAUUGCAAUCAGACCGGGGCUCGAACCCGGGACCCCUCGCUUACAGAGCAAGUGCCCUACAGACUGAUCUCACCGGCCAUCUGACUGUUUACGUAAUAAGAAUUGUAAAUAUGAAAAAUCCAGGCUAAAUAUAGAUUUGCAAAAUGUUGUAAGGUAAGCUCUGAUUGACUAGCGAAAGGGUCGUCAGAACGAGGCUAUCAAUAGCUCGUCUUCAGGUCCUAAGCGUAGCGUAAUAGGAGAUGUACUUUAGUCAGAUUGGCAUUCUCGCUAUUCAUGUAUUGACAGAUAAACAGUGUAAUAUCCUCGCUAUUAAUGUAUUGACAGAUAUACAUUGUAAUAUCCUCGCUAUUAAUGUAUUGACAGAUAGACAUUGUAAUAUCCUUGCUAAUAAUAUAUUGACAUAUAGGCAUUGUAAGAUUUUCUUUGUUUAUUUGUUGACAGUGAUACAAUGUAAGACUCCUCCUUUAAUUGUGUUGAUAGAAAGACAAUGUAAUAUCCUCGCUAUUAAUAUUAAAAUGAAAUUGUUCCUGGUUAUUGCAUUAGACACAAAAAGACAACCCCAUGUAAAUUUAAUUUAAGGCCUAUGCUAUUUUGAAAUUAUGAAUUAGGUGGGUGGGGUACAUGAUAUUAUUUCUGAUUAAUUUCGAAGUUACUGUAAAACAAACGUUAUUCCAAUGUGACAAUACAUCAAAACCAUGAAGUGCUGAACUCUUACUUUAAUUUAAAAAGUAAAGUGGGAAAAGUUAUCAGUAUGUUCGUGUCACAAUUUUCGGGGUAAGUAUUCUAUGUCAUCGUGCAUAACUGCGAAAAACUAUAACAUACAUAAUAAAGCUAAACUAUCCGUGUAAAUGAGCUGAGAGCUAUUUUUCUAUUUCCGUUUAUUACUUUUCUAAAAAACACAUUACAAUUUACCAGGUGUUGGCAAAAUUUGUCAUUUUUGUGCACAUGCCUUUACACAUUAAAGGAGUCCGAACUAUAGGUAUGGUGUGCGAGAGGGGCCUGAGCGCUUACGUAGUGCUCAUUUACAGGAAUUGUACUGCUCAUAUAUAUAUGAAUUUUAUAGGUAGAUACAAUUAUUUAAGUCAUUGUUGUACAUUUGGAGCAAAUCGGUCCUAUUCUGAAAUAUGUUAAUUUAUAUACUACGGUAAAAGCCAAUCAAUGAAUUCCUUUUAUACCGUUGAACCAAUCGUGAAACGGCAUCUUCCUUCUUCGUCAGCAUUCAAGAGUGAAUAGCACGCUUCUUUCUUUAAUUUUAUUUUGGCUAAUUUCUGGUUUUAUCUUACCACCACAUGCCAUUCCGCCUCCUCUUUCAAGUGACAAUUUUCUAAUUUUGAAAGAUUUCUCUUAAUAUGCAAAUUCAUCUACAUUUCUUGAUAUGCUUUCGGCGGUUAUAUCCGCCCUAAUAUGUGAAUGUAUAUAUUUGUCAUGGUAUUGGACUGUAACUCCAUUCAGAUAUGAGAACAUAUCUAUUUGUUAAGGACGGUAUGUUUCGCCCAGAUAUGUGAAAAUAUAAAUUUGUUAAGGUAUUUUUCGGCGGUAUUUUCUGCCCAGACAUGUGAAAAUAUAUAUAUUUUUUUAAUGUAUUGUUUUGCAAUGGCGGUAUUUUUCGCUCAGAUAUGUGAAAAUAUAUAUUUGUUAAGCGGUAUUUUUCGCCCAGAUAUGUGAAAAUAUAUAUUUGUUAAGGUAUUGUUCGGCAAAAUAAAUAUUGCCCUUUUUCAGUCAACACUUAGUUCACUCUUACAUUUUCCCAUACAUAGUCCUUAGGGUCAGUGCUUCGUUGUGAACAGAUGCACAUAAAUAACUUUAUCAUAAGUCCGCAAAGUGCAACAAAAGAAAUAGCAGUAUUAAUUUUGUAAUAAUAUUAUUUAUUUACAAGGUAUGUCUGACAAAUGACAUCGAGAAUUCUAACUUUAGAAAGCUGCAUUUUCAAGUACCUGAAUUUUUCCACUUUGGUUAAAAAGAGUUUUUUUCACAAUAGAUAAUGACUGACUACAGAAGGUAAUAAAAAUACCAUUGACCUAGAGAAUGCUACAACCUACUUAACUUCAGAGUUUGUUUAAAAUUAUAUUGAACACGUUUGCUUUAAUUUAAGGUGAAACAUAAACUAGAACUCUAUGAUAAAAAUCGAAUAAAUCAUUUCGAACAUGUUAGACAGCGAGAAAGCAAACAUAUCGUACGUAUUAUUUAGCAUGGAUGAUUUGAACUGUGAAUAUAUACUUUUUACACUUAACAUUUAAUUCCACGAGUAUACACACAUAUACAUAUAUAUUUACCUUUACCCUUUAUACAAUAGGAAUAUAUUUGUUUUACCUGUAAGAUUAAAGCAUAACCCCUCGUGAACAAAUAAUGCAUGUGGCUUUCACUGUUGAUAUAUAAUUGUAAUAUUAUAUUUUGACGUUACACUGAAACAAACAAACCCUUUUUGCAUAUUCAUUUAUAUAAAACAAACAAACAAAAACGGGAACAAUGUUUAUUUUGUUCGAUUGUGGGUAACACCGAAACGACACAAUGAACUUUUCCCAGGUUUUGUUGGUGGUGAAAGGCUCCAGGGGUCCCUCCAAGACAUUUUUUGAGGCUCAGACUAGUACCUAGAUCGAGACACUAACCUCAGUUGGAUGGCUUCCUUACGUGAAAAGUUUCACACCUCAAGUGGGUUUUUGAUCCCACGUCGGUGAUUGGCGAGGAAUUCGAAGCCAGCGACCAUGACCAUCAAGUUUUUCUUUUGCAAGUAUAAAAAAUAAAUAUUCAAUUAAAUUUCGUAAACAUAACUGACAAUGACAUUUACCACGUCGGAAGUUACAAAUGGUUUGCCGAAUACACCAUACUUUUAAAUACAGAAGUUUACACACCAUGUUGGUCGGAAAGCACGAAAUUUACGUUCUUGAACGUAUAUGUGAAUAGUUACUUUUGAAAUGUAAACAAAGACAUAAAAGUAACUGUUUUCAUGUUCGUGGUAAGGAUCGACUUGUGAUUGUCAAUGUUCCCGAUACGGAAUAUAUAUGAAUGUAUAAACACGAGCCGUUUCAUCUUACAGGACUUACAAGAACAUAGUAAGCGGUUGUUUAUUUAUUGUAUUUAUGUUCUAGUAACCUUUGACACUGAUUUCGAGGACAGGCCGGGUUUGUGACAUAUACAUGUCUGUUGUUGGGCUGGAAAAAAAUAGAUCCAAAAUUUAUACUAAAAGCUAUAUUGCAUAAAUGUUUCGUUAUUUCUGUGCAUACAAUUCGGUUGUUUGAAGGUUAGAAUAUCAGAAAAUUACAGGAAAUAAAACAUGUCUUUGAAAAAGUACCGAUCUUUCAUCAUUUGUUUGGUUGGCGCAUGAUUACAAAUUUAAUGUUAGUAGGCCGUGAUGUCCAUGAAGCCGUGUAAAGUGAUAAUUUUGAUGACACGUUGGUUUUAUUUUGUAAUUGUGAGUGAUCGUUAAGUGAUCAGAAAGAUCGGACAGUGGGAUGUUAUAAAAAAGUAAUGUUUUAUUUAGAUUAGAAAGUCAAUCGUACUCUACAAUAAGGAAAUCUAAGGUAAAAUACUCCUUUUAUUUCGUUCACUGAAGAAAACAUGGCGGACACAGUUUUGUAAAAGAGCGGUGCACGUGUGAUUCGUGUAACAUAGUUUAACGGCGUUUUCUUAGAAAGCUAACGCUCAGCUCAUUUACACUGACAUAUCAUUGAUUGAAGAAUAUAUAUAUUGUAUAUAUAUGAGAGACUUACGGUACCAAAUACUUACCCCGAAAAUUUCUAUGCAUUUUCUUCUAGUGCACUGUUGGGACAUGUUUUUGAGUGUCAUUGAUACUUUAUAAUUUAUUCGGAGAUACAUUUUCUUAUAAUUAUUAGUUUCUUUUUGAUCCCCGUGCAUUUCUCGCGUUGUUACGACAAUCUCAGUUUUACAUACGAAUUUUGCAUUGUCGAAAUAGCAUAGUCCUUAAAAUGUUGUUUGUACAUGCAUUACUGACCACAGGUAGCCAGGUAAACCUAUACAUAAUCCUAUAAUAUCACCUGUUUAUAUACAUGUAAAUUAUGUGUGAACAGAUAACACAAAUUGGAUAAAUUGAUGGUCUUGGGAUUUUUGUGUAUAAUUCUGUAAUCAGGUAAAAUUUCAAAAAAAAAUCUGAAGACUUUAUUCUUCACGGUCUGCUUUACAAUUGGCUGUAAUUAUCUUUGAAAUGUAUGGGAUAUAUAUUGAGUUUGACUGCAGAUAAAAUUGCAAAAUUUUGUCAUAGAAAAAUAUCGAAUGAAGGCAUAAUACAGGUAGUGAAAUGCACAUCCUUCUACUUGCAUAUGUUCACAUAGAUAUUUAAAACAUAAUUAUGACAAAUUUAUUGACUUUAUUGUUACCACUUAGUCAUCUUUAAUUUUUAUGGAAAUUUGCACGUAAAAUUUGUAGUCAAAUGGCUGCCACUGUAGGCGAUGCCUUAAGACAGCUAAAUAGUGAAUAAUCUGUAUGAAUAACUAGCAAAUCAUUUCCAUAUCAACACAUAUCUUGAAAUAUCGAUUAACGUUUUAAAAACUGAAGCAGAGUUUAUAUAAAGAACUAAAUUUUAUAUUUAGCUCCUGUGCUCAAGAAAAAGCUAAAAUUAAAUAUGAUACAAAAGACAUGGUAUGGUAUCUGAACUUAUUCGUCCUCCACCUCUGAUCCAUGCUGAACGAAGGAUAAGUGUGCACUCGCACUAAAAAAGUGACAAUUUUUAGCAAAUACCAUUUCUGCAUUACAUUUAAUUAUAUUGAGUAUCUUUUCAUAUUGAUUUUUUAACUAGGUUGAAUAAAAUGUGAGAUUCGGUGUA